CCUACGGGAGGCUGCAGUGGGGAAUAUUGGGCAAUGGGCGCAAGCCUGACCCAGCAACGCCGCGUGAAGGAAGAAGGCUUUCGGGUUGUAAACUUCUAUUAUCAGGGACGAAGUACGUGACGGUCGCUGAUGAAUAAGCCACGGCGAACUACGUGCCAGCAGCCGCGGUAAUAGGUAGGUGGCAAGCGUUAUCCGGAGUUACUGGGGGUAAAGGGCGUGGAGGCGGGAGUGCAAGUCAGAUGUGAAAACUAUGGGCUCAACCCAUAGCCUGCAUUUGAAACGGUGCUGCUGGAGUGCUGGAGAGGCAAUCGGAAUUCCGUGUGUAGCGGUGAAAUGCGUAGAUAUACGGAGGAACACCAGUGGCGAAGGCGGAUUGCUGGACAGUAACUGACGCUGAGGCGCGAAAGCGUGGGGAGCAAACAGGAUUAGAUACCCCGGUAGUC
rnacentral:rRNA from 1 species